UACGUAGGGUGCAAGCGUUGUCCGGAAUUAUUGGGCGUAAAGAGCUCGUAGGCGGUUUGUUGCGUCGGCUGUGAAAACCUGAGGCUCAACCUCAGGCCUGCAGUCGAUACGAGCAAACUAGAGUGUUGCAGGGGAGACUGGAAUUCCUGGUGUAGCGGUGAAAUGCGCAGAUAUCAGGAGGAACACCGGUGGCGAAGGCGGGUCUCUGGGCAACAACUGACGCUGAGGAGCGAAAGCGUGGGGAGCGAACAGG
rnacentral:rRNA from 1 species